GUUCUUUUUAAUUAAGAAACACUACUUUAAACAGGCAACUGGUUCCCCGGCGCCAGGCUACCCCAGUAACCUUCUACCCCCACCACACAUGGAUCCUGUGUAUCACCUUAUGCAGCAAUCUGGCAUGCACGGGCAGUAUCCCAUGUAUUCCAACCACGUAAUGCAGCAACUGCAUCAGCAACAUUUACAACGACAUAUGCUGCCAAAGUACUAGUUCAUCACAAAUUAAGGUCUUCUUUGGUUUAAAACGAACAAGUUCAGCGUCAAUCUCUGCUUGUACAUUUUCUCUUUCGUAGAGUAUUUUUUCUGCAACUAUUUUUUUCUACCCUUUUUAUGUGGUUUUAUUUUUUUACUCUCUCCAACUAUUUUCGUUAUGCUUCGUUGAGAAUCUGUCACGUGCACUUCGGAUGACGUCAUACACGCAGACGAGAGCUGUAACUUCGGUCGAGGCCAGUUCGCCGAAAAUAAAGAAGUCUUGUUUCCUUCGAAUCAACUGUCAAUCAACAUUACGUCAUCCUACAAAGUUUCAGCAAACUAUUUUUAAACUUCUGCGUAGGCUGGGUCGCUACCGAUGAUACCGGCGCACUAAUUGUGCAGAGUGCGUGUAUUUGGUUGAACCGCUUUAAAUUCAUAUAAGUUAACAUUUUUAAUCCUCCUGAAAUCGUAACUUUUAUGUGCCUUUUGUAUUUCGAUCAAGCUGCUUGUAUUUUUUAUAAAAAUCGCGUUAAAUUCGACAAAAAAUCUUUUUGUCUGUCGGUUUCAGUUUAGUGUUUUAACAACACAAGAAAUUCUUGUCUAUCUUCUAUAUUAUUGAAUAUUUCUUAUCAUUUAAUACGUUUGAUCAAGACUUGUUGCAUCUUACAGUUGGUAUAAUACAGUAUUACGGUACAACUCUAAAAUGUAAGUUUCGUGGAAAUAACGGCAAUACUAAAGACUUAAAAUACGUUAAUCUACAUUUUAGUGCGGAAUUUGUCGCAUAAAAACACGUUCAUCACUACACGAAUGCAUAUUUUUUCUGUUAGCAAUGAAACCAAAUAAAAAUUCUACAAAACUUA